ensembl:lncRNA
GGACCUGAGCUUUUCUUAGUUGCUAGAAGAGUAGAAGAGAAGAACUAGACAAUAUGACACGAGAGGAAGAUCUCAGAAUUCUGAGGAAUACCUUGAAGAGGCUACAACAGAGAUGGCAAAGGAAACUCCAAGAGAUAGAAGAAGAAAAAAUAAUAUGGUAUAAAGGAAUAGAAGAUUUUGAAAGAAAUUCACAUCUAGCAGAGAGAACCAGUAAGCAAAAGAUUGAAAACCAUCCUCUGAUUUUAGGAAUUAAAAGCUUGCUGGGAAACUUUCUAAGGGCAGUUUGAUAGACUGUACAUGGAUUAUUUUAAGUUUUAUUUAAGGAAUUUACAUGGAAAAGUCAAAUGAUUAAUAAAUCCAGUGAGAAAAAGGAUAUACCUAAGAAAAUGGAUGCUGGAAUGGAAAGAAAGUAAAGAUCAAUGGAAUUAACACCAAAGAACAGAAAACUAGAAGUGUUAACAUGCCAAAGUGUUUGUGUAGGGGCAGGGGAUGAAUAAGAUACAAGUUCUUAUGAGGAUAUUGGAGAUAACAGGCCCAGCUAUUAAACCAGUGGGACGGAGGGAUAGAAAGCAGUGUGGUCACCCCACCUAAGCUUUAAAAUACUACACACAGCGGCGUGCAGGCAUGGAUAAAGUAACUGGACUCAGAAAAUGGGGAGCCCAUUUGAUGUUCGCUACCAAACAACCCCAUUCUCUACCACCAGCAGCAGGCCUGAAAUAUCUUGGCUGUGGGAGAAUAACACGACCCCCACCAAGUGGAGAGAGUUGAAAGAGAAAUGGUGUCUUAUAAAAGAGUGAAGAGAAUUUUCUGUGAGGAUACUGAAGAAAUAUAGGUACCCCUUAAAAGAGAAAAGGAUUCCAAUGGCAAAAGGAUUGUGGAACUAGGUAUGGUAGCAUAUACUUAUAAUCCCAGUGCUCUGGGAGGCUGAAGCAGAAGGAUCCUAAGUUCAAGCCCAGCUCAGGCAACUUAGUGACUUACCAAGACCUGUCUGAAAAUAAAGAAUUUUAAAAGGCUUAGGGAUAUAGCUCAGUGCAAAGGCCCUGGGUUUACUCUCAAGUGCCACACACAAAAAAGUUUGCAUCAUUCGAACAGGAGAGUCAGAAGGAUAGAUACCCAGUCAAAGGGUAGUGAGUAUAUCUGGACGAUAUGAUGACUGAUGGGGAUGGUAUGUACAGGAGCUUGCUAAGAAUUAGGGAAAGAACUAAUCAGCCUCAAAUACCCUUGCUCUGCCACAGGCUGUUUGAUUGUCAGAAUGAACCUGGCAACCCGCAUGGUAUUGGACCUAUAGUUCAUUAUGUUUGCACAGUGACAAAAUUGCCAAAGGACCCAUUUCUCAGAAUUUAUUCCUACCAUUGAGCAAUGUAUGACAGUACUGAUUUUAUGAUUUGGAGCAAACUACCUAACCACCUUAUCUCAGUUUCCCCAUCGAUCCAAAGAGAUAAUCAUAUAUAUUUGGAAAGAUUUUUGUUAGAAUUAAAUGAAGUCUGUCCAAUAGCUUAUCAAAUGAUAAUCUCCCCGUGUUACUGUACUUAGGCAAUAUUGUGGAACAUGGUAAGUGUAAUAAGAAAGGUCCAAAUGGAAUGGUUUGAAUAUUCAUAGAAGGAAAUCCACACUCCAAACAUGUCACAGCUGCUAAAUUCUCUAUGAUUUUAG